rnacentral:rRNA from 1 species
GUCCACGCCCUAAACUAUGUCAACUGGUUGUUGGGGGUUUGACACUCUCAGUAACGAAGCUAACGCGUGAAGUUGACCGCCUGGGGAGUACGGCCGCAAGGUUAAAACUCAAAAGGAAUUGACGGGGACCCGCACAAGCGGUGGAUUAUGUGGAUUAAUUCGAUGCAACGCGAAAAACCUUACCUACCCUUGAACAUGUCCUGAAGCCUGGAGAGAUCCGGGUGUGCCCGAAAGGGAACGGGAACACAGGUGCUGCAUGGCUGUCGU